GAUGAACGCUGGCGGCGUGCCUAAUACAUGCAAGUCGAGCGAACAGACGAGGAGCUUGCUCCUCUGACGUUAGCGGCGGACGGGUGAGUAACACGUGGAUAACCUACCUAUAAGACUGGGAUAACUUCGGGAAACCGGAGCUAAUACCGGAUAACCUGUUGAACCGCAUGGUUCAACAGUGAAAGACGGUCUUGCUGUCACUUAUAGAUGGAUCCGCGCCGCAUUAGCUAGUUGGUAAGGUAACGGCUUACCAAGGCAACGAUGCGUAGCCGACCUGAGAGGGUGAUCGGCCACACUGGAACUGAGACACGGUCCAGACUCCUACGGGAGGCAGCAGUAGGGAAUCUUACGCAAUGGGCGAAAGCCUGACGGAGCAACGCCGCGUGAGUGAAGAAGGUCUUCGGAUCGUAAAACUCUGUUAUUAGGGAAGAACAAAUGUGUAAGUAACUAUGCACGUCUUGACGGUACCUAAUCAGAAAGCCACGGCUAACUACGUG
rnacentral:rRNA from 1 species